CCUACGGGUGGCAGCAGUAGGGAAUCUUUCACAAUGGGCGAAAGCCUGAUGGAGCAACGCCGCGUGCAGGAUGAAGGCCUUCGGGUUGUAAACUGCUUUUAUAAGCGAGAAAUAUGAUGGUACCUUAUGAAUAAGGAUCGGCUAACUACGUGCCAGCAGCCGCGGUCAUACGUAGGAUGCGAGCAUUAUCCGGAGUGACUGGGUGUAAAGAGGUGCGGAGGUGGGUUAAUAAGUAGCUGGUGAAAUCUUGUGGCUCAACCAUUCAGACUAUUAGCUAAACUGUUAGGCUCGAGACCGUUAGGGGCAUGUGGAAUGUCUAGUGUAGGAGUGAAAUCCGUAGAUAUUAGGAGGAACACCGAUAGCGUAGGCAGGAUGCUGGGACGGUUCUGACACUAAGGCACGAAAGCGUAGGGAGCAAACGGGAUUAGAUACCCCUGUAGUC
rnacentral:rRNA from 1 species